CUUCCUGCUUGAUGUGGCCCUGCGCUCUCACCUGCAUGGCCAAGGCCAUUUCUUCUUUCUCUUUAGGCGAGAAGAACCGUCCCCCAUCACCACGCUUCCUCUGCAUGGCGUGUUUGUGACGUGACUCAUGAAGGUAUUUUGCCCUCAGCCUCCAGUUUGGCGCGGGCUUGCCGUCUUUUUAAGAUGCGAUGAUAUUGCUUGGCAUUAACAUACAGGGGCUCCUCUUCAAGCAUCUCGGCUCCUGGCAGAGGGAUUCGUUGUAUAGCUGGCAUAGCACCACCACCUGGCACCAUCUGGCAGAGCAGGCACCAGCCAAAGUAAUAUGGACGGAAAUCUUGAAGAAAUACUAGCGUGAGAAAAGAACACCCACAGAACAUAAUUUGAGUGGAUCAUUUGCAAUGAGACGGCUGGCGGAUAUCAAGCAUACAUUUUAAUCAGUGCUAAAUAUUAACACACACAGUGAAGGAAGGUUGCAGGUUUCAACAUGUUUCUGAGUAAAUCAUCAAAUUCUAGGAAGAUUUCUGAAACUAGGAAUUUUCCAAAUUUGAAGAAACCAAACUCUCAGUUAUAUAAUAAGAAAAAUGAUUGAUGUGCAUCUUUUUACUUUCAGCAGGCUAGAUCUAUAUGUGAAAUGGUACCUCAUCAGGAGGCCUUACCAUGACCAUUCCCCCAGUGUUCACCAUGUUUCCAGAUACUGGCAGGGUAACGGUGACUGUGCCCUGCCCACUGUUGGUUGUGGAAGUGUUAGUGGUGCCUGCUGCCUGGACGAUUUGAGUUCCUGCCAGAGUGCCUGCUGGGAUUGUGAUCAUGCCUAUGGAAGAGAGAGAGAACAACAAUUCCCAACCUGAAUAACCUUGAAUGCUGUUCAUCUUUUUUUUGAGGAGGGAUUUGUUUAUGUUUGAAAAAAAUACUACUACUUGUUCUAAAAGGUUAUAGUUAAAUGUAUAAAUCACCCAAAAAUUAUAAGUCUAUCAUAACUUAAGACACCCUUUUGUUUAAACUUGCUUAAAUGUUUAGCUUUAGUGGAACACUAAGGACAUGAUAGGCAGUAUGUUCGCCUAUAUUUGCUUUUAUUGCAUCCCCCCCCCCAUACAAUGGCUGUCAUUCUGCCUACCAUCUCCCUUUUGAGUUCAACAGGAAGUCAUAAAGAUUUGAAACAUUAUGAGGGUGAUUAAAUGAUGGCAGAAUUGUAUUUUUGGGUGAACUCUCUCAUUCAAAUCUGAUAACUCUGAACAUAUGAUAAGCCAGGUGUUAGUAGGCUACGUUCUAUGUAU